CCUCCAAGGCAACGAUGCGUAGCCGACCUGAGAGGGUGAUCGGCCACAUUGGGACUGAGACACGGCCCAGACUCCUACGGGAGGCAGCAGUGGGGAAUAUUGCGCAAUGGGGGAAACCCUGACGCAGCAACGCCGCGUGAGUGAUGAAGGUUUUCGGAUCGUAAACCUCUGUCUUUAGGGACGAAAAUGACGGUGCCUAAGGAGGAAGCCACGGGUAACUACGUGCCAGCAGCCGCGGUAAUACGUAGGUGGCAAGCGUUGUCCUGAUUUACUGGGCGUAAAGAGUAUGUAGGUGGGUGCUUAAUUCAGAUGUGAAAUUCCCGGGCUCAACCUGGGAGCUGCAUUUGAAACUUGGCAUCUGGAGUGCAAGAGAGGACAGUGGAGUUCCUAGUGUAGCGGUGAAAUGCGUAGAGAUUAUGAAGAACACCAGUGGCGAAGGCGACUUUCUGGACUGUAACUGACACUGAGAUACGAGAGCGUGGGUAGCAAACAAGAUUAGAUACCCUGGGAAUC
rnacentral:rRNA from 1 species